UAGCUCCAAGACUGACAGGGAUAAUGCAGAGACCUGGAAGUCAAAUAAAAAGCAGAAGUGACUAACUGGCAGGAACAGAAGCCGCUCAUUUGGAAAGGAUCUUCCCUGCGAAGCUGAAAUGUGCAAACACAAGUCAAGGGAUAAUUUCAUCCCAAAUGUACCAUUCUUCUUUUGCCUGAACAAGUGACUUAAAAACCAUCUGGAGCCUUGCCAAGCACAGAGAGAAAAAUUUAUUGGCUGUGAUAUCACACCAGAAAACAUUGGAGAAAGCCGAAGAGGUCAAGCAAAGUGUCAUGUAUGAUCUCCUGCUCUUCAAGGGCAGAGAUCACUUGUGUGUGAGAAAGAGAGAGAGCAAUUGCUUAUUGAUGUAAUGGAAGCAAAUGAUCAUAAUGUAAAGGGCAGGUAAAUGACAGCAUCCUUCUGAAAGAUAUGCAGAACCUCUCCUGCUUCUUCUGAGGUAUUUGCAAAUGUUGGCAAUUAGUUGCCCUAAGUGCUGUUUUGUCUCCUCUCCACAAACAUGACAAGAGCCCUGAAUGCUGAUAAAGCAGAGCUUGGCAGAGUCCCAGGCAAGCUAUCUUCUUCUGAGACUGCACUCUGGUGAGCUUCUCACUUGUUUUGCAGGUAUUCAGUCUUCCAAAGCCAGGAACAUACAUCUUCGGGAGAUAAAGUUGCAACAGAAUUUUGAAUAAACUGAACAUGGAAAUGCUUCUGGCUCAGCUAACAGAAUGACGUAGUGGCCUUGGAGAAUGACACCAUCUGCAGGCUGGCACUGCGGGAAAUGAAGAUGGCAGGAUUAGAAGGGUUUUGAACAUGUAGGAAAAUGAUGGAGAAACUGCUUUGAAAUGCUUACUCACGUCCUUCAAAUCUUCAAGCUGGACAACAGGGGAGAUAUGUAGGAGCUUUAAAGAAAAGUACUUCCCAAUGACACUGCCCUCAAACGGUAACAUCAAUAUCUGAUCUGCCAGCAGAGUGGCUGCCUUACACUUGACCCUGUACCUGCUCUACCCAGGUGGCACAGAAGACAAGCUGGAACUCCUCUUUGCUGGUUUCCCCUCCCCAGAUUGCUGGAAGGUUAGGCUGAGGUGCCCCACAGCUGAAUGGUUUGUUGGGAAAACAGGAUUUACUGACAAUGGACCAGCAUCCACAGCCAGUGUAAGUUAACUUUGCCACACAGAAAUCUGUUUGGCAUCUCCCUGAAAAUGCAGCACAAUGAGAGUUCUGAAGUCUGCGAGUCAGAGAUCAGUGCUGAGGACAAGAUCUCAAGACUCCCUGUUUCCUGCAAUAUACAGCCUGUCCCUGCCUAUUCAUGGUUAAACCAAGGAGAAAUCAUUGAGGACAAGCACUUCAGCACAUCAGCUGCAUUGUCUCAAAUUCCUGAAAAUUCUUGUGUGAAGCAGUGAACAGGAGCAGGGAAGAACUGAAAGUACUGUGGAUCAUCUGGAGAUGUGAAGGAGCUGUGCUCUCCCACCCAGGACACCAGUAGCAUCCUUCUGGGAGGAACCAUUUAUAUGGGGCUGUGUAAUCCAGCCUGGGAACCAGAGAGAAAGCAGUCUCACAGGAGAGAAAUGGAGAGAAGGUAAGCACAGCAUUCUUCCUCCUCCUCCCCAGGUCCUGAAGGUAGCAUCAUUCUCGUGGGUAAGGCACUGCCUAGAAAUAGUUGUG